AGCAAGACAGUAGGUGAAAGUCUAAGCUGCUUUGGAAGGAGUGAGUAACUCUGACUUUGAGAAGUGUCUGAGCUGAGGAAAGGUGGAACUGUGGCUUGGAGAGGAUCAGCAGAGGUAAAAUUUGAAGAGGGGGUGAGAACACCAGGAAUUCUCCUGAGUAAUGUAUGCUGUAUCUCUUCCCUUACCACCUCCCCUCAUCCUGGUCUCCCCCCCC
rnacentral:lncRNA from 1 species